rnacentral:misc_RNA from 1 species
AGUCGUAACAAGGUUUCCGUAGGUGAACCUGCGGAAGGAUCAUUACUGAGUAUUAAAGGUUCUAUCGGCUCCUCACGGGGUUGAUGUUCCUUUUAUCUCUUCACCCUUUGAUAUUACCAUUUAGUUGCUUUGGCAGUGGUUUUCACCUCUGUCAUUGGACCAUUUCAACCCUGUGUAUAACGAUUGAUUAUUUGUCUCAUAUAUAUUUUAAUAGUUUAUAAAACUUUCAACAACGGAUCUCUUGGUUCUG